CUCAUUCUUCAGGUGGGUGCCUAUGACAGACUUGAAAAUUGAAAUAAUUACCUCGUUCUCCGGAUGGGCGCCUGCAGUCACAACAAAACAGUCAAAACAAAGAAAAUUUUCUGCCCUAGUUUAUACCAGGAACAUUUGUGAGUGUUAGUUGAAUCACUUUUUCCAAGAGGGUCCUGAAAAUUUAAAAUUGAAUCCCAUUAUCCAGGAGGUUCCUAAAAACUUAAAAUUAAAUUCGAUUAUCCAUGAGGGUCCUGAAAAGUUAAAACUGAACUUUCCUGGAACAUGCUUUCCUCAUGGAGGAUUCUUGCGAAGCAAACAAAAUUUCUUGCCCCUAUUUCAAACAAAGAAAAUCUCAUCAGUUUGAAAAUAUGGUGGUUAAUUUGUGGUAUCCUUGCUGAAGGUGUCUACUUCUGCCACUACCAUGCUUCAUUUAGAUUAGUUGUUUCGAGCUAACGAAGAAUUGUUUGACCUUCCGAUCGACCCUCGGCCACAAAAACCUCCAAAUGACCCGAAUCCCUUACAUUAAACUUGUUGUAUGGCAUUUUUAUUCUUACAAUUAUUGAACCUUUGUAUUUCCUCAAAAUCCAUGAUCACCUGACCGCCUGAACUUCAAUUACCACCACAUUGCUCAUUGUGAAUCAUGUCACUUGUGAUGUGCUUGGCCGAACUUUUCUUGAUGCAAUUAAAAAUCUAGAAAUGGGAUUUGAAUUCCUUUCUUGCUUGCUUAAUAAACAUUGACUUGACAGAGACUUAGAAAAAUAAACCCAAAAGAAAUGAAGCGAAGUGACUUCGAGAAAUUAGAAAUAAAAAGAAAAUUUUGAACAAAGAUGACUAUUUGAAGAAGAACGGAAAAGAUACUUAUCUGAUUGAAGCAACUGGCUCCAAUGAUCAUGACAUGCAUUUUGGAUUGAUCAGCCUAAUCCACCCAACUAAUCAUAUUUUAGUUCAAGCGAUGUAUUCAUACUUCAAAUAACAGGGAUUUCAAUAAUCCAAUUUCUCUGUAGAGGCACGAAUCUCAUUCGGUUUGUAGUGCCCCAAAGGUUCACCAGCAAACCUAUCUCACUUGUUCAUCUCUGAGCUCACAGUCGUCUUAAAUCACCCACGAGGAUUUUAACCAAUAAGACUCUCUUGUUUUAAAUUUUCUCCCAGCUUUCCAUCACCUUAUGAUGCCCGUGAGGGUUUCACCAAUAACACUCUCUCAUUUUAUUCAUCUUUCCUUGUGCCCAUGAACAAAGUGUUACCCAUGACGUAAAUCAUACCUCUAUCUCGAUUGACUUAACAUCCUCGAAGAUUGAUCAAAAGGUCUCUUUGGACCAUAGUGUAGGCUUUUGGACAGGGUUAAAAAGAAAGGGUAGCAUGAAGGCUCAAAAUAAUUUAAGAUGAAAGGGUUAUAAUUACAACUUUUAGAAUCAGAUCCUUUUGCAAAACUAAAACUUUUUCCCCUAUUUCUUUGCAUCUGGGGAGUUUUGGAUUUUUAUUUGAUGGGACCGAACCUCAGAGUUAGGUUGUCUACGUAUCCUUAAAAAAGAAUUAGGUCGAGUGUAAUUCAAAUGUAAAGUUAUUUUUUGCUUUUUUCCUUUUUCUUUCUUUUUUUUUCUUUUUUGUUAUUUUCUUUUCUCCCUUUGGUUUUUCUUUUAUUUUCCUUUUCCUUUUCCAUUUUUAUGCUACUUCUAAUUUCAAAAUAUGGGUAUGAAAGAAAACAAAUAAGGUUCAAAAGUGGUGACAAAAGAUAAAUGUCUUUGGGUAGUAUAAUAAAAUGCCUUCGUCAUUCUAACAUUGAACAUGCCAAGUGCAGAAAAUGCAAAUGAAGAUAAGCCGAAAAAUUAUACAUAAUGUCUCUUGACUGCAUAAGAAUUGAUAGCCAUAUCUACGCAUUUGCCUUCUAUAUCUGUUUAAUACAAAGUACCAUUGGGCAACACUCUUGUCACAAUGAAUGGUCUCUGCCAGUUUGGGACGAACUUGCCUUUAGCUUCUACUUGAUGUGGAAUGAUGUGUUUCAAUACCAACUGGCCCGCUUCAAAUUUCUAGGGAUGCACCUUCUUGUUGCAUGCUCAUGUCAUUAUCUUCUUAUGCAAUUGACCAUGACAUAUUGCUUCCAAUCUUUUCUCAACAAUGAGACUCAACUGCUCCAGUCGGGUUUUAACCUACUUAUCAUCAUCAAUUUCAGCUUUCAUAACAAUCUAAAGGGAUGAAAUCUCAACUUUCGUAGGUAUGAUUGCCUCCGUUCCAUAUGCCGGCAAAUAAGGAGUUGCACCUACUAAGUGCAAACAGUGUAAUAGCCCAGUAAAACAAAAGGUAACUUUUAAUGACAUUUUUUAGAACCUUGCACCAUCUUACGAAGUAUCUACUUUAUGUUCUUGUUAGUGGCCUCAACAUCUCCACAUUUGCCUUGGGACGAUUUGGAGUGCAAUUUCAAUGCAGAAUCUUGAACUGUGUGCAUACCUCUUUCAUCAAAUGACUAUUGAGACUAGCAGCAUUUUCUGUGAUGAUUACCUUAGGAAUUCCGAACCGGCAGAUGAUAUUUGCAUGAACAAAAUCUACUACUACUUUCUUGGUCAUGGACUUAAAAGUUACUGCUUUGACCUAGUUGGUAAAGUAAUCAAUGGCCACCAGAAUAAACCUAUGCCCAUUUGAUGCUGUCAGCUCAAUUGGUCUGAUGACAUCCAUGCCCCAAGCAACAAAAGGCCAAGGUGUAGAUAUUGAUGGCGAAUGAUGUAUCAAAUCACCAUGCACCUGGUAUUGAUGACAUUUGUAAACAAAGCUGAUGCAAUCUCGUUCCAUUGUAAACCAAUAAUAACCUGCUCGAAGUAUCUUCUUUGCGAAGACAUACCCACUCGUAUGCGGACCAUGAACUCCAAAAAUUCACUUCGAGCAGAUAGCCGAAGCUUGUUUGGCAUCUAUUCACCUCCGUAGUCCAAGAUCUGGAGUCCUCUUGUACAAGAUUCUCCCGCAUAAUAAAAAUCCACUAGCCAAACGUCUAAUGGUUCUUUUUUUAUCGUCUUUGGUAUGUACUGGUUAUACCCNNNNNNNNNNNNNNNNNNNNNNNNNNNNNNNNNNNNNNNNNNNNNNNNNNNNNNNNNNNNNNNNNNNNNNNNNNNNNNNNNNNNNNNNNNNNNNNNNNNNNNNNNNNNNNNNNNNNNNNNNNNNNNNNNNNNNNNNNNNNNNNNNNNNNNNNNNNNNNNNNNNNNNNNNNNNNNNNNNNNNNNNNNNNNNNNNNNNNNNNNNNNNNNNNNNNNNNNNNNNNNNNNNNNNNNNNNNNNNNNNNNNNNNNNNNNNNNNNNNNNNNNNNNNNNNNNNNNNNNNNNNNNNNNNNNNNNNNNNNNNNNNNNNNNNNNNNNNNNNNNNNNNNNNNNNNNNNNNNNNNNNNNNNNNNNNNNNNNNNNNNNNNNNNNNNNNNNNNNNNNNNNNNNNNNNNNNNNNNNNNNNNNNNNNNNNNNNNNNNNNNNNNNNNNNNNNNNNNNNNNNNNNNNNNNNNNNNNNNNNNNNNNNNNNNNNNNNNNNNNNNNNNNNNNNNNNNNNNNNNNNNNNNNNNNNNNNNNNNNNNNNNCACUUGAUGUAUUCCUUAAUAUCAUGGAACCAAGGUUCACCAUCAAGUUCUUCUUAAACCAUAUUAUAAUAGGCAUGCUGAUCACGGACUUGGAUAUGCAGAGGGUCGACGCAAGUCUUAUCCUGAUAGUGUAACACUGAUGCCAGAAUGGCCAGGGCAUCGACAACCUCAUAUGGAUCCUGGGAAUAUUCCUAAAUUCUACUGACCUAAAUCAUUGACAAAGAUCAUGCAGACAUUCUCGAUACGGUAUGAGCUUCAAAUCCCGAGUCUCACAUUCUCCCUAAAUAUGGCGAACCAACAAAUCUAAUUAUCUUGAACCAGUAUUUCUUGGACUCCCAUGUCUAUAGUUAACCUCAAACCCAGAAUGCUUGCUUCGUACAUAGCCAUUUUAUUGGUGUAAUAAAGUAGAAGUUGAGCUAUUACGAGGUAGUGAUGCCGUGUUCAGAAAUGCGCACAACUCUUAUUCUAACACCCUUCAUGUUAGUAGCUCCAUCAAAGAAUAGUUUCCAGCCUAGAUUUUCAUUAUGAUCAACCUCAUCAACACGCAUCACUUCUUCAUCAGGAAAACAAGUCUUUAGUGGCUCAUAUUCUUCAACAACAAGAUUUUCGACCACGUGGUCGGCCAAGGCUUGGGUUUUUAUUGCGGUCCGAGUUAUAUAGAUGAUGUCAAACUCUAUGAGUAAAAUCUGCCACUUCGCAAGUCUUCCUAUAGUCAUAGGCUUCUGAAAGAUAUACUUUAAGGGAUCCGUACGAGAAAUGAGGUACGUAGUGUAGGAUGAAAGAUAAUGCUUCAACUUUUGUGCCACUCUAGUAAAGGAGCAACAUGUCCUUUCAAGAAGAGUAUACUUAACCUAAUAAGGAGUGAACUUCUUGUUGAGAUAAUAAAUGGCUUGCUCCUUCUUGCCAGUGAUAUCGUGUUGACCCAACACACAACCAAAAGAAUUAUCCAGGACUGUCAAAUAGAGAAUCAAGGGUCUCCCAAGCUCUGACGAGGCCAACACAGGUGGGUUUGACAGGUACUUCUUCAUCUCAUCAAAUGCUUCCUGAUACACAUCAGUCCGCUUAAUCGUAGUAUUCUUUUUCACCAAGUUAAAGAUGGUCUCACAAGUUGUCGUGAUCUAAUCAAUAAACAUGCUUAUGUAGUUUAACUGUUCGAGCAGGCUCAUCACCUCAGUUUUAUUCUUUGGUGGUGGUAAUUCUUGGAUGCUUUUGAUCUUCGAUGGAUCCAACUCAAUAUUUCAUCAACUGACUAUGAAUCCCAACAUUUUCCCAGACGGGACACCAAAUGCACAUUUUUCUAGAUUGAGCUUGAGGUUGUACCUGCAGAGCCUUGGAAAAACUUUCUCAAGUCCCCGACAUGGUCAGACUGCUUCUUUGACUUUAUGAUCACAUCAUAUACAUAAACCUCAAUCUCCUCAUGUAUCAUGUCAUGAAAUAUGGUAAUCAAUGCCCUCAUAUAAGUUUCUCUAGCAUUCUUCAAAUCAAAUGGCAUUACCCGAUAGCAAUAUGUUCCCCAUGGCGUGAUGAACUCUAUCUUUUCUGCAUCUUUCUCAUCCAUCAAGAUCUGGUGAUAGCCCGUGUAACAAUUCACAAAAGACCCAAUAUUAUGCUUGGCACAAUUAUCGAUCAGAAUGUGAAUGUUUGGUAAUGGAAAAUUAUCCUUUGGGAUCACCUUGUUGAGAUCACAAUAAUCAACACAUACCUUGGUCUUAGCAUUCUUCUUUGUUGCUGGCACAAUAUUAGCUAAGCAAGUAGGAUAUUGAGUGACCCGAAUGACGUUUUCCCCAAGUUGCUUUGUUAUUUCUUAUUUAAUCUUCACACCCAUGUCAGUCUUGAACUUUCUUAUCUUUUGCUUGACAGGAGGUAAUGCAAGAUCAGUUUACAAUUUAUGAACUACCGUAUCGGUGCUCAAACCCGGCAUAUCAUCAUACGACCAUGCAAAGACAACUUUGUACUCAAACAACACUUUGAUUAUUUUUUCUUUGAUUUGCGGUUCAAGAUACACACUUAUCUUAGUUUCCUGACAUUAUCCUGAUCUCCUAAAUUGAUUGCUUCAAUUUCAUUCAAAUUAGGCUUGAGUUUUUCUUCAAAGUGUUUUAGUUCUUUACUUAUUUCUUCAAAUGCUGCUUCUUUAUCAUAUUAUGUUUCAUCACCGCACUCUACUUCUUGAGUUAUUAUUUCAGAAUUAGAUUGGCUAUUAAAAUUUGAUUAAAAAUUCCUCAUGCAUGUCAUGUCAUUCAAACUAGCAUAAAAAGAACUCUAAAAAAAUUCAAAAAUGAAACGCUAUCAGGAAUAAUGGAAAACGGGAAAUUAUAUUUCGUUCCGAAUAAAAGGAUAGAAAGUUUUGUACAUCAAAACACGAAAAAAAAAAUAGGGAUUACAACUCUGGAAUAAUCCAAAUAACAGAAAGGAAAUUAAGUCAAACUACCAAAACUCCUUUCAUGUGGGGAGAGGAGUAGCUUUCCAAUUUCUAAGCUUCAUAUUUGAACCUUCCCCAAUUUCCACCUUAUUAACCUCAUCAACAGACUCUGGAACCUCUUGAUCAGCUCUUCGUCAAAGUCAUCCACAAGUUUCGUGACUAAUGAUAUUGGAUCUUUUGCGGCCCCUAGCUUGAAAAAAGACUUGGAGAUGUGUAGAACAUGCUUAGGGAGUGAUCAUACUUUCUGUUUCAAAUUUUUAGCCCAUUUCACAUCCUUCUCUAUGGGCGUGAAUCCCAAACCAAAUGUACCGGCACUUUCACAUGGACACAGUAGAUGCAAGUACCCUGUAGAGAUGAACCCACAACUUUGCGCCGCACAAAACCAUUCCUCAACAUCUCAUUAGCUACCAUGACGGACGCGGAGGGUAGCUUCGGACAUGGAAUGCAUUCUCCCGUAGGAAUCUUCUCAACAAACACAAUUUCAAAAGUUUGGUAGACUCAAGUCCCUUUAUCGUCUUCAGCUUCAAUAAAUGGAACAGUUGUGUCAUUGUAAGACGAUAAGUUCUCAUCACCAUGCACAACUAUUUCCUUCAUGUCGCAUUCGAACUUUACCAUCUAAUGCAGAGAAGACGCGACUACCUUAGCAGCAUGUAUCCAGGUCCUACCUAACAACAAGUUGUAUGAGAUAGACACAUCUAUCACUUGGAACUCCAUAGUGAACUCAACUGGCCCUAUCGACAAUUCGAGCAUUAUAUCACCGACAGAAUCUUUCCUUCCUCCAUCAAAAGCUCGAACACGUACAUUAUUCUUGUGGAUUCUUUCAGUACCAAUUUUCAACUUUUUCCAAGGGACGGAGGGCAAAUAUAGCUGUUAUCAACCAAUACCCUUGUGAAAAUUGAAUCCUCGCACUUCACCGUGAGAUAAAGUGGUCGGCUAUGUUCCGUACCUGAUAACUAGGGAUUCUAGUAUAUUUUAUGCUCUUUUUUGCUUGAGUUUUGUAGUAAAACAGUGUACAAGUAUUCCCAAAAGGUAACUUAUUAUGUUUGUUGCUGUGUUUGGUAAAAAAGAGACAAAGAAGUCAAAACCAUCUCAAAAAGGAAUGAAACCUCCAUAACUUAAAGCUGAGGCAACUACGCGCUGCAGCAGAAAAUCAACGAAGGAUCCACCGUUGUGGUGCUUUUGAUCUCACGAUACGCGGUGGAAAAGAUCAGAGAGAUUUCAUUUGGGGCUUUUGAAGUCACCGCUGACCUCAAUGCUUUUAUGCGACGGCGGUUCCUCCACCGCGACAGCAGUUUGUUUGCCGCAGUCCGCGGAGAAGAGGUUCAAAGAGCCUGAAGUUAAGCUGAAAGUUGAAGACUACAGUUCGCGCUUGAUUUUACGUGGUCGCGGUAGCCUCACCACUGUAGCGGUCCAUUUUUCCCUGUCAGCGGUACAUCCGUCAUGGGCAAUUGUUUCCAAAAAAAUGGUUGUGUAUAAAUACUUCUUUUUCAGAUUUUUAGGUCAUCUUAUCUUUAGUGAGCACGUGAAAUCGCAGUUUUUGCUUUUUAGAGUAAUUUUGUUGCUGGUUUAGCAAUUAAUCUUAUAUUCUUAUCUUGUAAUUACAUUUUAUGGGUUAUUCUUCAUCUCAAUUUAUGAUUCCUUCUUCAAUUAUGGUAGUUAAACCCAUUAUCUAGGGUUGUGUCUCAACCCUAGUGUGGGUAUUUAAUGGUUAUCCUAUUUUAGGGAUUAGAUAUUUAUGGGUGAUUGAUAUUUGGUCUGAUUUGUACUUUUUAUGUUGAAUUUGUGGUUGCAAGUACUAGUUUGUGCCUUUUUUACUUAGGCUCUUCUUUAGAAAGUGAGCUUAAUUCUAGGAAAUUCAGGCCAAUAAGGAAUUGCGGUGUAUCAAGAGAUUGAUAGCCCCAAUUAAAGAGUUAAUCCUAGAGAUAGUAAAUACCGACUUGAGCCAACUUUGCUUGCACAAAUUGAACACCCAAUUAGGCUUGAGAAAGCCAAUUAGGGCAAAGUCACUCAAAUUACCGAGAGGUAUAUAGUGAGUAUCUUCGUGCAUUGGCUAUAUCAUGAUCCCAACUAUAAUAUUAUUGCCAUAAGUUCUAGAUCUCAUUAGAUAUUCACCUAGGAGUUAGACACUUCCUAUUGCCUUUUUACUAAUUUAGAAAACCCUACAAAAACAUCUAUUUAGCUUCAUUUCGUGUAUCAUUAGUAUAAAAUUAGAAGUAACAAACAAACAAGAACGAUUGGAAGUGCAAUCAAAAACACUGUACACUGCUAGAUUAGAUAGGAAUCCAACUCCGAACAUAUCCUAUCUCCCUGUGGAUAUGAUACAACCUUUUCGGGUAAAAGCUGCAUCGGUCACUCUUGCCACUCUAUAGUGGUGUAGGGUUGGACUUGAUCAGUACCCUCAUUAGGAAGUUCAUCAUCUAAGAAAGUUAUCUUGUUUUCUUCGAAGAUCUUGUUAGCAAUCUUUUCCAAGUGGUUCACCAUGAUCUUAUCAGACAUAUGGGACUCAUUCAAAAUCUUCAUCGGUGCUCUGCGGUGUUCAUCUAAAUGUAUCAGCAAAGAUAGAAGAGAGAUCUGAGCUGGUGUUUUCCUUAACUUCUCUACAAUGGAAUAGUCUUACACUUUCAUCCUUUUGAGGAACUCCUCUGCCUCUUCUUCGGCGACUAGCUUCUUUUACUAGGAUUUGGCUAUCCUUGAAUGGCUUGGCUUUUAUCAAUUCCUAUGGGGUAAUGCAUCUACCAGAAUGAGUCAGUCCUCCGGUUUCAUUGACUUAUUCCUCUACUUCUUUGCCUUUAUAUGUCACUAUCACUUGUUUGUAAUUCCAUGGGAUAGCCAUUGUAUCAACCAUUGGCAACUGGGUCACUAGUUUAAGAACGACAGGUGAUACGGGCCCCUUCCACGACUAUGACAGGCUUUUUUAGGAUCCCUGGAUUUUCCUAACUUGCUUCAACACCAUUCGGAAGCCCUUUCAUCACCAAUACAGGUGGCUUCAUGUUGAGCGUGCUCAACUUCUCCGUCACCACCUCAACUAUCAAGGGCAUUGCUUUUGUAGAAUUUGAAGCCUUAAAUGGAUUACUUUCACUAGAAAAAAUCAUCACUAUGGACUUAGAAGAAUUCUUGAGCUCUGCAUCUUUACGAACUAUUUCGAUCAUAUGCGUCUCUUCAUGGGCUACCAAAGGAUAAUGUGAUUUGUAUCAAUAAGCUCUUGGAUUGCUCCCUUCAAAUGCCAACACUCUCUGUUUCGUGCCCUGGGUCAUCAUAAUAAUAUGCACAUAUGAGGCAAUAAUCAAGGUUCUUUGGAGAGGGAUUUAGUAUUUUGACUCAAUCGUCCUCAAGAAAUCCAACUGCCUGAAACAACCUAGUAUAGAACUUACUAAUGCCACACCUCCUUUAUCGCUAUACACUCCCGCAAAAGAGGCGUAAAGGAGUUUUUCAACUUAAAGGACAAUCAGAACGGGAUUUGGUCAUGAAUUAUUUUAGAGUCGCCGCUUGGUAGAUUAAUGGUGUCCCAAGUCACCGAUUGAAUCGAACCGAGGAAAAAGAUGACUAUGUAUUACAGUCUGUGAUCAAGAAAUCCGAAUAAGAAAUUCUGUUAACCCGGGAGAAGAUGUUAGGCAUUCCCGGGUUCCGUGGUUCUAGCACGGUCGCUUAACAGUUGUAUUUGAUUUUAUCCGAUUUAAUAUAUGCAAACUUAUGAGUCUUUAUUCAUAUACCGCUUUUACCAUUAUUUAUUUUAAAAGACUUGCGACGUCAUGAAAACGUGUCUCUGGCCACGUCGCCAUCAAGGCACCCGUGGUCGUCAACACAUUUCUACUUUGUCAAGAUUUGGAUUUGGGUCGCAUCAAUGUGCACCCGAGUUUAAGAAAUUAAUUUAAUGAAUCGCGCUUAAAGGUUCUAACAUAAUAUUUUUGGGAAAGGCCGUUGAAAUUCGCUAAACGGCCCUUCCGAAUUCUAAUAUUUUUUAAUAACUAAUUAUUGAGGGCCUCACAUUUAUUUUUGUUCGGUGAGGCUCGUCUCCAUUUUUGAACCCUUUUCCGACCGUUAUUUAUUUUAUAAGAAUUACGACGUCGUGAAAACGCGUCUUGAAUCACGUCACAGUAAAUGAGCCCUUGAUUGUCAACACAUUUCCACUUCAUCAAGAUUUGGAUUUGGGUCACAUCAAUGUGCACCCGUACUUAGGAAGAUAAGAUUAUUUAAUGACAAGCUAAAGCAACUAUCGCGUUGUUAACUUUGCGAGGGCCAUGAAAGUUCAACUAAAUGGCACACCUCGAUUUCUAAAGGCUUAAAAUUAAUCAAGUAAGGGCCAUGAAUUUUGAGAUUUUAUUUGCCAUGGCACACCUCAAAAUGUUUAUGGAAAACACUAGUAGAAUAGAAUAAAAGGUUAUGCACACAUACCCACAGAACUAAGGUUCAAUUUGUCUUCUCCACACCAAUUAGUAACUAUCACCAUCUGUUUCUAAAUCAUGCAAGCUCAAUACACAUAUCUCAUCUUAUACAUAAAUUAUGUUGAUAUGCAUCCAAUCUAAUUUUAAAAAAAAAGAAUCAAAUGACACUUUAAACAGUUAGAACUAAAAGAACGAUCUCAAUGUUUCUUAAUCCAUCGUAGCCCGUAAUCGACAAAAGAAGAGUUGAACGCCGACGGAUCAAUUUUCAACUCAAAAUACAAACACCCAUUUUCAGUACUCAAAGACCGCAUUAACGAUUAUUACGGCUAUACUUCAAUAACGAACACAUCAAAGAGAAGGAGAAAGAAUCCAUAUCAAUUUCAGUCCUGAUUUCCGCACAUGAAUACUCGGGCAACAUUAUAUAUUUCUCAAGUGCGAAAUUAGCUCAAAUAAAAUCACAUGGUUAACUAGUAGUAUUAUACACCUGUUUUCAAGCUCGAAUUGUGACAUUAACAUUUAAUAAACUCCCACAAGAUCUAAUAGGCAUUUCAUCAAACAGAUUUUAUACAAUUGAAAAUCAACUAUAAAGCCAUCUCAGUUAUCACUCAAAUCAACUUUUGAAUAAUCAAAUCACAAAAUGGAGGGGAAAAGAAAAAAAAAUGAUGUAUAUUAACUGAUAAGAAGUCACCAAGAAAGACAAAGAUGGUGGUUGACAAUUUUGAACCUAACAUAACUCCAAUAACGGCUCAUAGGGGUCCAGCGGUAGUAAAAUGGAAAGCCCAAGCAAUUGGUCAAUGAUUGAGAAACGUCCAUUUAAAAUUCAAUUUCUCCAUACAAAUGUGAGAAAAGUCCGAAGCAAAAAAGGUUAGAUAGUAUGCCAUGUUUAACUUGAAAUUCAAAAUAAGGUCAUCAAUUACACACGAUAGAUCUAUGCGGUUGAAUCGAAUCAAAAGCUUAACAAAUUUGCCUUUUCAUAUAACAUCCAAACAAAAUAACAGGGGCGUGUAUACAUACCCGAUUGAGUUGAGACAACAAAAUUGAGAGCCUAAUCCAUCCGAAAAUAGCCAGCUCCUCUAAUUGGAAUCAAACAAACAAUCAAUGCCCAAAUGAAAACGAGAAUGCAACUGUAAGGCUCAGCAGCAUCAAAUCAAGCAGCGAGAGCAGAAUCAAAUGACCACGAAUCGCAGCGAAAUCUCGAACGAGCCUAGACUUCUUGCAGGGAAUUAAGAUCCGAUUGGAGCUGGUUCAAGGACUGAUUUACUGCUGAGUGUUUUUGAACUAUUUAAAUGAUUUUAGUGGGAAAAUUGGACCCUUUUGUGGAGAAAAUGUUGUUGCGUCUUUUUUCAGAGGAGAGCCUUCUGCAAAUUUUUCGCGUGUAUUCUUGUAGAGGAGCGGAUCUGCCCGUUUUUGCCAGGGGUAGGGUCACACAUUUGGCGUGUUUGUAAGGGGGAAGGAAUUUGGAUCGGGUAUGGGUGCAAUUUGGGCUGGGCGUAAAUCUGUUUUGCGCCAGGAAAUUUUGAUUAAAAAAUCAGCCCAAAAUUGGUCUUUUGCAAGACCAACUCUUUUCAAAGCUUUUCUUUUUAUUUCUUUAUUUUUGUUUGCUUUUCCAAUUUGUAUUUUUUGUAUUAUUCUUUCUGAUUUUAUAAAGGUGCAAAAAUUAAAAUAGAGUCUUAAUGUAUUUCAAAGCUAAACUAAUUAACUCCUAAAAUUAUUUAAAACCUAUUUCAUGAUAAAUUCACAAUUAAAACAAUUAAAAUGCAAAAAUGAACAAUUUUUGUUAUUUUUCAUAUUUGAUUCUAAAACAAAUUAACCCCUAAUUAAUGCUAAAAAUGAAAUUAGAUCCUAAAUUCAAAUUCAUAUUUUUGUAUUUUUUAUAUGAAUUAAAAUGCACAAAUAAAAUGCAACAAUUACCGAAAAAUGACACAAAAAUUCACAAAAAUUGUAAAAACAAGGGGAAAAAAUCAUUUUGUUUGAAUUUUUUUUGGAAUUCAUUCACAUAUAGGGCAAAAAUCACGUGCUCACAACCAAGAGGGGUGACGGUUUUUUUUCCUCUACUGCAUUUCUCUUGUAUAAUCCGUCCUUGGUUGAAGCUUGGACCAGUAGGGUUUUUCUAUGGUUGUGGGGUGGAUAAGGAUUUUUUGGAGUUGGAGCACGCCAUUAUGGGUAAGGAGGGGGUUGAGCAUAUGACUGUGCAUGGUGAACAUGAUACUGGGGUAGUCUGACAGAGUAUUGAGGGUCUUGUAGUGGGAAAUAAUGUUGGGGUUGAUUGUAUGGAGCUUGAGUGUGGGCUUGAGGUUGGGGCCAGGGAUGAGUGUACUGGUGAGGCAAAAUCCUCGAUCCAUGCCAUGGUUCAGAGACAACCAUAGCGACAUCUUCCUUCUUCUUUUUGCCCUGCAAACUUCCUGUGCCACUUUGAAUUGCAUGUGUAAUUGCUUUUACGGAAAAAUAGCUCAUAAUCUUGCUUGACUUGAGUCCCUCUUCCACCAUUCCUCCCAUCUUUACCACAUCAUUGAAGGACUUACAUAUGGCUGAGAUCAAAUGGCCAAAGUAAAUAGACUCUAAGGCUUGAAAAAAGUACCCGACCAUCUCGUCUUCUUGCAUCAGAGGAUUGACUCGUAUCACUUGCUCUCUCCAUCUGAACCUGUUUUCCCUAAAGCUUUCAUUGGGAUUCUUUUCUACCUUGGUAAGGGAUAGGCGAUCGAGGAUAAUGACUAUGUUGUACUGAAAGUGCCGAGAAAAAGUCUGAGCCAAAUCAUCCCAUGUGUACCACCUGCUAGUAUCUUGGCGGGUGUAUCACUCCAAAGCCUCCCCAUUCAUACUCUGAUUGAAAUACGCCAUCAAUAAUUCUUCUUUCCCACCGCCGCCUCUCAUCUUGUUGCAAACACCUCUCAAAUUGGCCACGGCAUCUCUGUGUCAAUCGUACAGGUCUAACUUGGGCAUCUUGAAACCAACGGUCAAUUGGACGUCUUCGAACAAGCACAAGUCAUUGUAAGCCACACUUACUUGACUUCAUAUCCCUUGCAUAUUCUUCAAACAUUUCUCUAAACUCUUCACUUUCAUGAAUAUCUCAUCUUGCUCCACGUUCUUGGAUGGUUUCUCGGUUUCAACAAGUGGCUCAAAGUGAGGGGUGUAGGGAUAAGAAUCCGGGACCUUGAAGGUUGGUUCUAGGGCAUAUAGGCGGGCAUCUAGAGCUUGGAAUACGGGUUCUAUAGAGGAUCGGUGGAGGGUAUCUUGUGAAGGAGCUACAAAAAUAGGAACAAACAUCGGAGUACGGUAUGAGGUUGUUUUGACUGGUGGAGCAUGGAAAAUUUGGGAUGAGAUACAUGGGUAAUUGUGGUAAGGGGUAAAGCACGGUACAUGUUAAGGGGAAGAUCAAUGGUAAUGAGAACCUGGGCUUGUGGCAGUGGUGGAAUGAAAGCAUGGUUUUCUGUAUAGUUAGCAGGGAAUGAAGGUGGAGGAUGUCCCAUAAUCCAGGCCUGACAUAUUUUCACCAUUUGAUGCUUCAACCUAUGGACCUCCUUUUUCAAACCAGAGACUCAUUUUACAAUCUCCGUCGGCGGGUCAACAACACAUGUGCCCGAUACUUUGCUAGUCAUAGCUGACUUGCGCUUCGACCUAGUGUUAUAUGGAUGACUUGCCAGAAUGCCAACAAACUAACCACCUACACAGAACCUGGCUCAAUGCACAUCCAAUACAUUGGUUAGUUUUGAGACGCUUAACCGAUAGGAAAUCGCACGUUAGGAUGCAAUGCACCUAAACAGUUAAACGCUUUUACCAUAUGUUUGAACGGCUGGAUGUUUCAUCCAAGCUUUAUCUAACCCUUUUUCACUCUGUACCUUUUCAUUCCCUUCCGCCUUCCUUUUAAUCACUCUUGAUUUUCUCUUCUUUUUUUUGUCACUCUUUUAUUUUUUUUGCACUCUCUUUUUCUCUUUUGGUUUUUUCCCAUUUUUCUUUUUAUUUUCACUCAAUUUUCUUUUCUCUUUUUUUAAUGUUAUGGCUAUGAUCGAAUCUUAUGGAGAUUUCCUACAUAUCAUGACACCACAUGAAUCAGAUCAUUGCAUAGUUCAGAGAUAUAAAUGCAAAAUGAAAGACAAGAAUAUUUUUGGGGUUUUCAAAAUUUCAUUAAUAAAAGACACCUUUUUGGAUUUUUCUAUUACACAGACUCGGAAGUACUGAUGGCUAAAAAUAAACAUACAGACUUGAAACAAAACCAUAAACAUGCUCGAAAGGACAAAAUAGACUCAAAAUAAAUAAAGUACAUACUCAAAAAUCGAAAAUCAUGAAAUACAUAAGAGCCUCGAAUGCUACUUCAGGGGCUCGCGGGACAUUAGUCGGUCUCAACGCGGACCUGCGUUCAUUCUCUUAUUAAAGGUGAUCCAGAUCAGCCAUUACCUGGAGGAAAAAUGUCAUCAUGAAAGAAAAAACAUGGAUCUAGUCAUAUCCUCACAUUCAUGGCACUUCAUUGUAACAUAACAAGCUAUUUCUUUGUUUCUCAUUCUGAUGAUACCCUUUUCUUGAAGCAAACGCCGAUUUGUUAUGCACGAGAUUCCAACACCUACGUGGCUGUGUCAUUUUGGUCUUGCAGCUUUUGAAUGCUUGCUUCUAAUUGGUAAAUCAAAGCAUAACAAUGUUCUCUCAAUAUUUUGAAGUAUUUUGUUUGCUGAACUAUCUCAAUUUUUAGGGUAGUCAGUUUUUCCUUUAAGAACUUGACUCAUUUAUCAUAUUUUUUCUUCAACCCUUGAGCAAACCCUAUCCAUUCUUCCGCACCUUUUUCCAACUAUGCUCGAGAAUUUGCCAAGUCUUCCUCGGCCUUUGUCAAAUCAGCCCCAAAAUCACACAUUUCCUGCCUCAUAUUGGUUAUGAGUCUUUCAUCUUUUUCGCUUUUUACCGGGGUCUCAAUGGCUAUUUUCAUCUUUCAGAUCUGAGCUAUGAGGGAUUUAUUUUCCCGAGCCAACCUCUUCUUUUCUCCUUUAGCCUCAUCAGCCUGCAAACUACCAUCAAAUUUGAUGUUCCUGAUUUAAUCUUCUAGCAUACUUAUGGUGGCCUAGUAUUGGUUCUCUUUAGCUAACCAAGCCAAAUGUUCAUGUGAUGCAUCGACAAAUUCUUGGAUAUAGGGACUUUUGGUCGGCCUUUCAGAUUCUUCAUUUGUCGCGACUCUCUUUCCAUACCAAGCAACAUAACCAGGCAAAACGUCGCCCUUGGAAAAAUCACAUACUCGGGUGUUUGCUCCCAAAUAUUGGCAUUUGCUCCAAAUUUGGCGAACCAUUUAGUCAAGAAAUUGGGCAUCGGAAUGCACUUCAACCGCAUGAAUACUAAGAUCUUCAUAUCUGGGAACUAUCUAGCAUCUUCCAUGUUAUCUCAAAAUUCGGUAUAGGGCUAGGGAUUGAUGCUUCAGGGACCCAUUAGAAGGGAGUAGGGGCCAGUGGCAGGCAUAUAAAUGAUCUCAUUAACAAGAGCCAGCCCAAUGUCCAUUCUAUCUUAUCUCCGCUUAUGGAACGGAGGUGGAUGAUCCAAUCUUUGACCUUUUCUAGCAUUUUGUAUCCGGUCACUCGUGCCCCAAACUCUUCGAUGCAAUUUUUCCUUGUAGAACCAUAUUUUAUGUAGCAGGAUUAGUGACAAAGGCCCUCGAUCAUCCACAUUCAAGAGAUUGCACCCCUCAAAAAAUCUGACCCCGGCCUUACAUGAUGUAAGGGCUCAGAAUAUAUCUGAUACAAUCAUGGGCGCGAGGGUACUCUUAGCCUGAGUAGUCAAAACAUGGGAAACUCCGGCUACACGUAAAUCAAUGCACCUGUCCUUCCUUGGAAAUACCAAAAGGCAUGAGAAUGCCACUAUGAAGGCAAAGCAUCUAUGUAUUUUCCACUUUGAUCGGUUUCCUUUAUUGUAGAGUCCAUUUUAUGGGUCUUCAGAUCCACUUAAAUGCCUGUAUCGUUGGUAUAGAAAGUGUAAAAUGGAAGUUCCACGUGCUAGAUUUUCAGUCUUGAUUUGCCUGUUUAUUUUCAGUAAGUCUAGAAAUUUGUGGGGAGUAACAGUCUUGGAGAUACCAGGUACUUGUGUCUUAAUCCUUCCAUACUCCCGGCAUUGCCCACGAUUUCUCUCAAAGUAGGUAUAAACUCAAAAUCUGAGAAGUGCAAGAAAUUAUGAGUGGGGUCCCAAAAUGACUCUAAUGCCUCUAUCAGAUUACUUCUAGGUUUAAUAUUCAAUAGUCCAGUGAGUUACCCCAAAUAUUGGCUGACCCUGUCUCAUUCUUGUUUUUCCAAAUCCUUCAACCUGUGGAGUGCUAGUGGAAUAUGAUAGAUAACCUUCACAGAUAAAUUCCGAACAAUGCUCAUUCUGCACAUUUUAAAUUAGGGUAACCAGCUGAAAACAUGUGAAUUAUGUUUAAAAACUGACCAUGAAAAGAUUAUUUUUGCAAAAUCCAACUGAAAACAAAUCACUUCGGAAGGGAAGAUUUUUGAGUUGUGUUUGCUAAGUGGUCAAAUUUGAGAAAAGGACCAUAGGUAGCUAUUCUUGCAAAAUGUACUUUCGGCAUCUCGUCGGGAUAUUUCUAUCUAUUUGGAUAAUAUUUUCAUAUUUUGAUUAAUUUUGGAAAAGCAGGGGUGGGCCUGAUGAGGGUUGCCUACGUAUCUCACAUACGGUGAGAAUCAAACCCGCGUAGUUCGGUAAGUUUCGAUGCAACAAAAAAAUAUAACUUAUUUUGAAAUGAAUUUUUUUUAAGAAAACUUUUGGCACAGUCUCGGGAUAUUUUGAAUACCGGAGUUUUUAGAAUCGGGUGAUUUUCUUUUCUUCUCACUCGAUUUUUCUCAAUUUUUUUCCCUAUUCUAGAAGUUGGUCAACAUGCAAGCCGAAAAAAAUAAAUGCACAAGUAGCACAUAAAAAUGCAUCAGGGUGGUCUUUUAAAUUGGGUGUACCUGUCCUAGACAGACUCAACCCCUGUGUUGAGUCCCUAAAGUCAAAUGCACGUGAUGCAAGCAACCUUACCUACUAGGGAUCCGACAUGAGGCUGUGUUAUUCUAAGUUAAAAACCUGGAUAUAUUGUUCUAGACCGGGCUUACCUGAGCGAACAACUCGGGGGAGGGGGGAACAUACUAGUAACCAAAAGAUCAUUCGACUUUGUAACUGAUCCGAUCCUCGUUCUAAAUUAAGUUAUGCCACUAACAGAAUAGAAGUCACGCCGGCGUGCACUUCCCAAAAGAUUUAUAAGACUCAGGGAAAAGAAGGGUUUUGUAACAAUUUAUAUAGAGUUUAAACAAUAUCAAAGCAGUAAAAAGCGGCAUUUAGCACAUUAGACUGCUACUAAGUCCGCAUGAUCUAACAACUUCAACCUUCAAACCACAAGAAAUUUAAUAAUUGAUGCCACACAUCACUCAUAAAUUGAACAAGAAUAUCUAUUAUUCUGAAGAAAGAAAAAGAAAAUGGAGAAGACAACAUGACAUUCAAAUAGCUCUAUCGUAAUAAGAUUUACAGCAGCACAAUCAGUAAUCACAAUUGAAAUAGAAUUCAUGUACCAUGAGAAAGCAAAUAGUGGAUAGAUUUGACAAAAAAUAAGAAAAUCACACAUAUUUGAUGCACAAAAUCUAAACAUAGGCAUAGCAAGAACAAAUCAUAUCCUUGAAUCUAUAUUUAGUAAUGAUUCAAACAAAUAGAUAGAUUACAUACCUAUCAACAAGAACAAUAAAAGAAAAGAUGACCAAACAAAAGCUAAACUUGAGAGCAAAUAGAGCUUGAUUGAACAAGACCAACUAAGCAGUAAUCAAUAACCCAUUGUGCUAAAAUUCAACAACUUCAAAAGCCAAAAAAUAUACCAGAAAAUAGUGAAGUUGAAGUAGCCUCCCUAUUUCCAUUUUCUCUAUUUAAGUAUUUAUGCCCUUUUCGAGAAUAAAUAUGCAAAAAUUAACGUGUAGUGUGUGAGGGGGUGUGAGGUCUCUUUUACAAAGUGUGAGAGUACAAGAUGAUAUAGGCAAUGAGAGAGAGAGAUUGAGGGAAUUUGACAGCAUUCCCUUAAAAUUAGAAAAUUGGCUUCUUUUAAAAAUAGAAAAAUGGACAAUUGUCCAGCUUUUCAGCAUUCCUUGUUAAUAAUUUUGGACAGCUAGUCCCUUUCUGGAAACCUCCCACAAACACCUAAAAAUUCAUAUCUUUACUUUUCAAUUAACCCCCCUUAAGGUUCUCUUUUUUACAAAUAGCCACCUUAAUUUUGAUCUUUCUGAUUCUCAAUGCCCUAAGUUUUUAUGUUCCCCUAGCUCCCUCAAGUUUCAAUUAUGACAGAUAAACAUUAAAAAAUAUAUGAAUAUAAACAAAAUAUUAAUCAACCAAACUAUUUAACAAUUAAUUGUUAAACUUAUGCAAUUACACUAAAUAAUACAAUUGAACUAACUGAUUAUGCACCUAAUUAAAGCGUUCAAACAAAAUAUAAUUCGACAGAAUUUAGGUAUCAAUUCGGUUAGAACAGGAGAGCAAGCAGAAAUGAUAAAAAAAAAAAGAUAAUAAUCCAUCAGUUAUUCAAACAAAAUCAUGCAAGUAACUAUUAAUUAAAUCAUGCACACACUGAAUCAAAUGAAAUUAAUUCCUAAUAUGCUAAAAAGUAAUAAGAACAUAUUAAAACUCAUGAAGCAAUAGUAAAGAUAAUGGAAAAUUACCUAAACAUAGCAAGAAAGAUCUUCUGACAGAAUUUGGUCGAACCGUCAAAUCUGAACGCCUUCAAAAUGGACCAAAAAUGACACUAAUCAAUUUUUUCUCGCUAAGAACAAUCAAUUAGCAUAAUUUUCGGUCAAAUCGAGUCUUGAAACUCAACCAAAAUCGAAGGAGGAAGGAAAAAUAGGGUCUUUUUUUCUUCUUUUUAGAUUCGAAAUUGGAGAAGUUUGGUGGAGGUUUUGGGAAAAUUGGUAAGGAAUUAGAGUUAAGGCGGAGUUGGAGAGAGUGUAGGGUGUGAGUUUGGGGUUGUUUGGACGGUGGCCUACGGUGGCAAGGGCUUAGAAAUCCUAGGGCGACUACGGUUUGGUGAGGGGAAGGAGAUACAUCGAAUGGGGAGAGUUCUGCGGUU
rnacentral:lncRNA from 1 species